CCUAAAAAAUGUGAGCAGCRUGCAGUCAUUGUCAUAAUAAAUCAUGAAGUACACAAUUCUGCGAAACUUAAUGGAUUACUAGAGAACAGAGGGGCCUUGGUACAAGUCAAGGAGUUUCAGCAAGCAAAAUGAACUACGGAGAACUGCAAUUUUAUUAAACUGCACACAUUUCUAAGAUGGAUUGUGCAGUUAACUGGCAAAUUGGGCUGGAGUUUGUCUUUCCSAUAUUUAUGGGACUGAAAGUACAUAAGAAGCUUUUCUGCCCCAGAGUCCACUGAGCCC
rnacentral:lncRNA from 1 species